UACGGAGGGAGCUAGCGUUGUUCGGAAUUACUGGGCGUAAAGCGCACGUAGGCGGCUUUGUAAGUUAGAGGUGAAAGCCCGGGGCUCAACUCCGGAACUGCCUUUAAGACUGCAUCGCUUGAAUCCGGGAGAGGUGAGUGGAAUUCCGAGUGUAGAGGUGAAGUUCGUAGAUAUUCGGAAGAACACCAGUGGCGAAGGCGGCUCACUGGACCGGUAUUGACGCUGAGGUGCGAAAGCGUGGGGAGCAAACAGG
rnacentral:rRNA from 1 species